rnacentral:rRNA from 1 species
UUCGCAAUGCCCGAAAGGGUGACGAAGCGACGCCGCGUGCGGGAAGAAGGCCUUCGGGUUGUAAACCGCUGUCGGGAGUUAAGAAAUGUAAGGAUGUUAAUAGCGUCUUUACUUGACUAAGGCUCCGGAGGAAGCCACGGCUAACUCUGUGCCAGCAGCUGCGGUAAUACAGAGGCGGCAAGCGUUGUUCGGAAUUAUUGGGCGUAAAGAGCACGUAGGCGGCUAUGUAAGUCGGUUGUGAAAGCCUUCCGCUCAACGGGAGAACAGCAUCCGAUACUGCAUGGCUUGAGUGUGGGAGGGGAGAGUGGAACUUCUGGUGGAGCGGUGAAAUGCGUAGAUAUCAGAAGGAACGCCGGCGGCGAAAGCGGCUCUCUGGCCCAUAACUGACGCUGAGUGUGCGAAAGCUAGGGGAGCAAACGGGAUUAGAUACCCCGGUAGUCCUAGCCGUAAACGAUGGGCACUAAGUAGAGGGGUUUU